GACGAACGCUGGCGGCGUGCCUAAUACAUGCAAGUCGAGCGGACUGAUUAAGAUCUUGCUCUUAUGACGUUAGCGGCGGACGGGUGAGUAACACGUGGGCAACCUGCCCUGUAGAUCGGGAUAACACCGAGAAAUCGGUGCUAAUACCGGGUAAUAUCUGAGAUCACAUGAUCUUAGGUUAAAAGAUGGCUCCGGCUAUCACUACAGGAUGGGCCCGCGGCGCAUUAGCUAGUUGGUAAGGUAAUGGCUUACCAAGGCGACGAUGCGUAGCCGACCUGAGAGGGUGAGCGGCCACACUGGGACGGAGACACGGCCCAGACGCCUACGGGAGGCAGCAGUAGGGAAUCGUCCGCAAUGGACGAAAGUCUGACGGAGCAACGCCGCGUGAGUGAUGAAGGGUUUCGGCUCGUAAAGCUCUGUUGUUAGGGAAGAAACAGUACCGAACGAACUAGGUCGGUACCUUGACGGUACCUAACCAGAAAGCCACGGCUAACUACGUG
rnacentral:rRNA from 1 species